rnacentral:rRNA from 1 species
AUUGAACGCUGGCGGCAGGCCUAACACAUGCAAGUCGAACGAGUGGCGGACGGGUGAGUAAUGUCUGGGACACUGCCUGAUGGAGGGGGAUCACUACUGGACACGGUAGCUAAUACCGCAUACCAUCGGAUGUGCCCAGAUGGGAGUAGCUAGUAGGUGGGGGAAAGGCUCACCUAGGCGACGAUCCCUAGCUGGUCUGAGAGGAUGACCAGCAACACUGGAACUGAGACACGGUCCAGACUCCUACGGGAGGCAGCAGUGGGGAAUAUUGCACAAUGGGCGCAAGCCUGAUGCAGCCAUGCCGCGUGUAUGAAGAAGGCCUUCGGGUUGUAAAGUACUUUCAGCGGGGAGGCGUUACCCGCAGAAGAAGCACCGGCUAACUCCGUGCCAGCAGCCGCGGUAAUAC